AACGAACGCUGGCGGCAUGCCUAACACAUGCAAGUCGAACGAGACCUCCGGGCCUAGUGGCGCACGGGUGCGUAACGCGUGGGAACCUGCCCUUAGGUUCGGAAUAACUCCCCGUAAGGGGUGCUAAUACCGGAUAAUGUCAUAGGACCAAAGAUUUACCGCCUUUGGAUGGGGCCGCGUUGGAUUAGCCAGUUGGUAGUGUAAAAGCCUACCAAGGCGACGAUCCAUAGCUGGUCUGGGAGGAUGAUAAAGCACACUGGGACUGAGGCACGGCCCAGACUGCUACGGGAGGCAGCAGUAGGUAAUAUUGGGCAAUGGGCGAAAGCCUGAUCAAGCAACGCCGCGUGAGUGAUGAAGGGCUUAGGGUUGUAAAGCUCUUUUACCCGGAAUGAUAAUGACGGUACCGGGAGAAUAAGCUCCGGCUAACUCCGUG
rnacentral:rRNA from 1 species